rnacentral:tRNA from 1 species
AUCAGAUUAGUAAAAGUAUUAUUAUGUUGUCUUGAUAGGGCAAAGUUCCAGUAGGAUCUGAUA